rnacentral:tRNA from 1 species
GGCCGAUUGGCCCAAUGGUAAGGCGUGGGACUCCUAAUCCCAAGAUUGCGGGUUCGAGUCCCGUGUCGGUCG